GCCCGUGUGGUGUAGUGGUUAACAUUCCAUGAGGUAGCCACCCUUCAAUAAUGUGUUGGCAGCCAUCCCAGCGCAGUGUUGUACUCUAGCCUGCUACCUCAUGGGGCCCAGGUUCGAAUCCUGGCAUGGGCA